rnacentral:lncRNA from 1 species
GUCCUUGAUUCAAAAAAAGGUACGGACCCUGUCUUAGAUAACUGGUCCUUCCUUUUUUUAUUAUUCAACCUGGAAAAGUGGUGAAGCUUUUCUUUCCCAUUAGGUGACAAAUUGAGAUCCAGUAAAUUUUCAGUCUAACAAGUAUGUUUUCGUGCUUUAAUACAUAUUUUUGAACUUAUGAACUACUUGUAAAGCUUUUGCUAAAGCUUUUCUUUUACACAGCUUUGUUGAAGCUUUUCUUUCGCAUUAGGUGACAAAUUGAGAUCAAGUAAAUUUUCAAUCUAACAAGUAUGUUUUUGUACUUUAAUACAUAUUUUUGAACUUUUACACUACUUGUAAAGCUACUUUGCUAAAGCUUUUCUUUCACACAGCUUUGUUGAAGCUUUUUAAUCACAUAUGAUAUAAAUACAACAACAAAAAUUGGAUACUUGAAUCGGCGUAUGCAAAAAUGCCCGAUGUCCAAUACAGUGUUUUAGAAUUUAAGCGGAUGAUUUCAUUGUAAGCUAAAGGCACAAGAUAGUCUAAUAUGUUAGGAAAGUAGAACAAUGAUGUAAAGAAUUCCCUAAGUGUACUUAAACGUUUACAAAAGAGAUCGAUCUUAUUCAUCAGUGUUGUAGGGCAAAAGAAACCACUGCAAUUAUGAGACCCUGUGCCUAUUGGACAACGAACAUAUUCGCAUGAGUCGAUUCAAUUGAUGACGAGCUUUCUCUUUUCAAAAUGAAUGCUGCAGAGAGGAAAAUUUCAUCAGUUCAAUAUUGUCGAUGAUUGUCUUGCACACCUUAAGGUGAUCGAUGUGCGCCAUAUUUUGGGACAGAGACAUGCAAUAUAUAGCCUCCAUCGAAUCAACUUAAGAUUUUAGAUUCCGUACCUGUAGGGUACAUAAAGUUCACCAGAUGAAGAUGAAAUGACAUUCGUGGGCAUAAAAUGAGAAAGACAGCUUUGCCUCACAAAGCGGUGCUCUUUUGAAUUAAAAUAUGCAACUUGAUGACAAUGGACAUGGGAAUUAAAAUAUAAUGUUUCUAAAUUUUCACACAAAAAACCAAUAUUGUUGCUUUUAUCUACACAAAUCGCUCUGAUUUGACCAAAUUCUGGAUCAGGAUAAAUUGGCUC